GAGGGGGCACAGGCCAGGGGGUAGCGACUGUUUAGCAAAAACACAGGGCUCUGCUAAGUCGGCUUCAAGACGACGUAUAGGGCCUGACGCCUGCCCGGUGCCUGAAGGUUAAGUGGAGGGGUGCAAGCUCUGAAAUGAAGCCCAGGUAAACGGCGGCCGUAACUAUAACGGUCCUAAGGUAGCGAAAUUCCUUGUCGGGUAAGUUCCGACCUGCACGAAUGGCGUAACGAUGGCGGCGCUGUCUCCACCCGAGACUCAGUGAAAUUGAAAUCGCUGUGAAGAUGCAGUGUAUCCGCGGCUAGACGGAAAGACCCCGUGAACCUUUACUAUAGCUUUGCACUGGACUUUGAAUUUGCUUGUGUAGGAUAGGUGGGAGGCUUUGAAGCGUGGACGCCAGUUCGCGUGGAGCCAACCUUGAAAUACCACCCUGGCAACUUUGAGGUUCUAACUCAGGUCCGUUAUCCGGAUCGAGGACAGUGUAUGGUGGGUAGUUUGACUGGGGCGGUCUCCUCCCAAAGAGUAACGGAGGAGCACGAAGGUGUGCUAAUCAUGGUCGGAAAUCAUGAGGUUAGUGUAAAGGCAAAAGCACGCUUGACUGCGAGACAGACAUGUCGAGCAGGUACGAAAGUAGGUCUUAGUGAUCCGGUGGUUCUGUAUGGAAGGGCCAUCGCUCAACGGAUAAAAGGUACUCCGGGGAUAACAGGCUGAUACCGCCCAAGAGUUCAUAUCGACGGCGGUGUUUGGCACCUCGAUGUCGGCUCAUCACAUCCUGGGGCUGAAGCCGGUCCCAAGGGUAUGGCUGUUCGCCAUUUAAAGUGGUACGCGAGCUGGGUUUAGAACGUCGUGAGACAGUUCGGUCCCUAUCUGCCGUGGACGUUUGAGAUUUGAGAGGGGCUGCUCCUAGUACGAGAGGACCGGAGUGGACGAACCUCUGGUGUUCCGGUUGUCACGCCAGUGGCAUUGCCGGGUAGCUAUGUUCGGAAUAGAUAACCGCUGAAAGCAUCUAAGCGGGAAACUAGCCUCAAGAUGAGAUCUCACUGGGACCUUGAGUCCCCUGAAGGGCCGUCGAAGACUACGACGUUGAUAGGUUGGGUGUGUAAGCGCUGUGAGGCGUUGAGCUAACCAAUACUAAUUGCCCGUGAGGCUUGACCAU
rnacentral:rRNA from 1 species